AGGAUGAACGCUGGCGGCGUGCCUAAUACAUGCAAGUCGAGCGAAUGGAUUAAGAGCUUGCUCUUAUGAAGUUAGCGGCGGACGGGUGAGUAACACGUGGGUAACCUACCCAUAAGACUGGGAUAACUCCGGGAAACCGGGGCUAAUACCGGAUAAUAUUUUGAACUGCAUAGUUCGAAAUUGAAAGGCGGCUUCGGCUGUCACUUAUGGAUGGACCCGCGUCGCAUUAGCUAGUUGGUGAGGUAACGGCUCACCAAGGCAACGAUGCGUAGCCGACCUGAGAGGGUGAUCGGCCACACUGGGACUGAGACACGGCCCAGACUCCUACGGGAGGCAGCAGUAGGGAAUCUUCCGCAAUGGACGAAAGUCUGACGGAGCAACGCCGCGUGAGUGAUGAAGGCUUUCGGGUCGUAAAACUCUGUUGUUAGGGAAGAACAAGUGCUAGUUGAAUAAGCUGGCACCUUGACGGUACCUAACCAGAAAGCCACGGCUAACUACGUGCCAGCAGCCGCGGUAAUACGUAGGUGGCAAGCGUUAUCCGGAAUUAUUGGGCGUAAAGCGCGC
rnacentral:rRNA from 1 species